rnacentral:rRNA from 1 species
AUUGAACGCUGGCGGCAGGCCUAACACAUGCAAGUCGAGCGGAAACGACUUAACUGAACCUUCGGGGAACGUUAAGGGCGUCGAGCGGCGGACGGGUGAGUAAUGCCUAGGAAAUUGCCUUGAUGUGGGGGAUAACCAUUGGAAACGAUGGCUAAUACCGCAUGAUGCCUACGGGCCAAAGAGGGGGACCUUCGGGCCUCUCGCGUCAAGAUAUGCCUAGGUGGGAUUAGCUAGUUGGUGAGGUAAUGGCUCACCAAGGCGACGAUCCCUAGCUGGUCUGAGAGGAUGAUCAGCCACACUGGAACUGAGACACGGUCCAGACUCCUACGGGAGGCAGCAGUGGGGAAUAUUGCACAAUGGGCGCAAGCCUGAUGCAGCCAUGCCGCGUGUAUGAAGAAGGCCUUCGGGUUGUAAAGUACUUUCAGUCGUGAGGAAGGUAGUUGCGUUAAUAGCGUAAUUAUUUGACGUUAGCGACAGAAGAAGCC